rnacentral:lncRNA from 1 species
AUGUUUGCUGAAAGAGUGACCCCAAGAGAAACCUCAGGAGCACAGGUCAGCCGUCUGGUCAACUGCAGCUUCCUCCCUGGUUGGCUCCUGCCUCCCUCCAGGUCAUUUUCUACACUGCAGGCAAAGAAAUGCUUUCAGGUGUCUCCUCAGAAGCCUCCCAUGACCACCUGCACAGGACCCAGAAGAGACCCAGCAUCACCGUGUCAUUGUGGGGAGUCCCCAUACUCCAGGCCUUGUCCCUCAGCAAACGUCUGACCUCCCGGAACAACAGUCUUCCAGGCCGCCCAUGAGCUUUCUCUGCCUGGAAACGUGGACUCCCGUGCCCUGGGUCCUCUGUGGGGGGAGAAGAGACUCAGAAACACCCAGUGGUCGUCGAGCCCACUGUUGUCACGGGGGAAACACAUUUGCUCUAUUUUUGUGAGUUCACACUGGCCUUUCCAAUUUGAAUUUGGACACGUUUUUCUCCACGACACAUUUAGUGAAAUCCUAGAGCCCCAGGCAAGGCAGUAACUGUCUACAUGUGUUACCCCCACCCUGCCCCCCUCGCUUGGCUGCUCCGACAAUUUGUUGGAAAGUGUAGUAAAUACUGCACAAAAGCAUGUUAUUAAAAACUGCAAUCUAGGUCCUUUAUUUCUUUGACUAUAUGAAAACCAUUUUUUAGAAGUUUUGCGUGCUGUGCACCAGCCCUGCAGGGGGCUGGCUCUUCUCACCAUGGGCUCCUGGACGGGCUGGCAGGACAGCCGGGCAGGGGGAGGUCCUGGUGGCUCAGCCCCCUGCAUCUCUGCUGGCUCCGGAGCCGGCUGGGCCUUGUCUGUUUCUGCAGCCGCCUUGCUGAGGUUUAGUUCACAUACUUUUGAGGGGAGGAAAAUGCCUUCCCUCUGCACAUUGUACAUUCACUGGCUGGGACUCUGAGUUAGACCGACAAAGCACAGAUGAACCAGAGAGGGACAAGCAGAAGUCCACGCCCGGGAGCUCCCAGAGAUGGAGAACGCAAAGAGGUAAAGCGCUCAUACAGUGCGUCCACAGCACAACAGUAAAUCAUGGAGAAGUGACAGGACUCGGGGAGGACAUUGGGUUUCUAGGGGCGGCGACAUGUGGCGG